rnacentral:snoRNA from 1 species
AACAUGCUUCCUUAGAUCCACCUUUGUGGAUGAAUCUUGAACUGAGUUCUGCUUGUAAACAUCUUGUUUCUUGUAGUUCCAGUCAAAGAAACGUCCAGCAACUUUUUUGGUUGUACAGUCGAAGGUGCUUGAGUCAUUGGCAUGUGAGAGAAAUAUACCUGCAUGUUAGUCUAAGGUUCUGAUAGAAAUGACAUGCAAGUAUGCUGUCAUUUUUUCACUAUCAGGAUUCGACUGGUAUGCGGACACU